GAUGCAGGUUGGGUUCUAGAUAAUAUGGCUGUAGAUGCAGGUUGGGUUCUAGAUAAUAAGGCUGUAGAUGCAGGUUGGGUUCUAGAUAAUAAGGCUGUAGAUGCAGGUUGGGUUCUAGAUAAUAUGGCUGUAGAUGCAGGUUGGGUUCUAGAUAAUAUGGCUGUAGAUGCAGGUUGGGUUCUAGAUAAUAUCGCUGUAGAUGCAGGCUGGGUUCUAGAUAAUAUGGCUGUACAUGCAGGUUGGGUUUCUAGAUAAUAUGGCUGUAGAUGCAGGAUGGGUUCGAGAUAAACUGAAUGCAAACCCAGAUCAUGUUCUAGAUAACCAGACCGUAUGUGCAGGCUGUGUUCCCGAUAUAAAAAAAACUGUAAAUGCAGGCUGUUCUAUAUAAAUCAAAGUUUUUACAGACAUUUCACAGAGGUACACACACACAGCUUGCAGAUACACACUACAUACCAACACUCACACUUAUACAGACAUAUACUGGAAGAGAAUGAAGUUCAAUUGGCAGAGUGUAUCUUACCUACGUGAAUUAGAUUAGCAAAACAUACACACACACACACACACUCACACACACACAAACACACACACAAACACGCAUGCAAGCAUCCCAUGGAAGAAUGGCAAUCUGAGCUGGUAGACCACGAAUGGCUGCCAUGCAGUAUUAAAGUUUAAUUGCUACGAUACCAGGCAUGUCUCCAUGGCAACAAAGCUUCCUCUACAGUUCUGCUCCAAGUGUAUGAUGGACUGACUGACUAAUGCAGCUCAGAAACGCAUCAUCAAAACAGCUUUCCUCAAAACGCAGUUAAGAACGGUUCUAGACUGUAUCUGCGUCUACAUGCAGGCUGUGC
ensembl:lncRNA